CUCAAACUUUUCACCAAUUCUGACAUCUAAACAACUAAUGCCAGAGACAGGCUCUGUGGAACCAGCAGCUGCGACCUCACCUCCGGUCCCCAAAACACUGAGUUGUUAAACGAAAG
rnacentral:lncRNA from 1 species